rnacentral:lncRNA from 7 species
UAUGAAACAAGCUUUAUCAACAAUGAUACAACUUUUAGAUUAAACCACUACUUGAAAAUAAAGCACCAGCAUUCUGCAUUUUCAUCAUUGCUUCGAUUAUUACAGCUGCAGUCAUUGAGACAUUUUCUAGCUCUAGAAGAAUUUGUUGGUACAGCUGUAGCAGCUCUUCACAGAAUAGUGGUGAUUCCUUUGGUAUCAAGAACGGGCUUACUGCAGCUUCAGAACAGCUUUUAAAAUACGGUGAAUCGUAGAUGGAAUGCUCUUCAGUGGAAGAACUGUGAGUCACCCCAUUUACAUCUGAUGGCAUCAGUACUCCUGUCCAUGUCCAAAACUUUCCUGUGGGGGCACCUGUAAGAGCAGCAGCCAUCAUCAGCAGAGUCCUUCAACUAACCAGUGUUCACCCUGCUCACCUGCCGCCUCACCCCAGCAGCCUCCAGCACACAGCAGCCAGGUGCCCUAACCCAGCUGGAGGGCGUUUGUGUCACGCAGUUGGACAGAGCUUCAAAUCAGAGACCUCCUGCCAAGCUGGCCUGCAUGACAUGCAGAGGUAAAGUUUGGACAACCCUUUUAAAGAUGCAGUUGAGGGCAACCACAACGUACUUCUUUACAGUGACCAAAACAGAGCCUAUACAUCCUGAACAGAAACUGACUUUAAUCACAGUACAUCUGAUUUAAGGGAGCCUGGCUGUGGAGAAGAGAGGGAAGGACACUUACCAGCAGUUCCUCAUCUUCCCUUUUCACCUUUCCUUCUUUCCCUAGAGCUCGACAGCUAGUUAACAUAGCUUUUGAGAAUUUUAAAUAUCUGUGGAAUGUUCAAACCAGUGUGCUCCUAUUGCUCUGUGUUAUGAAUGCGUUUCAGGUUACCUUUAAGAUUAAAUGAUUAUUUAAGAAUAUCACCCAGACAUCUGCCCCGAAGUGGUAUAUCUCUGAGUGGCAAGGAAUGUGGGUUGGUAUGAGCAGGUACCUAGAGUGGUGGGCACAUUCAGUGGUUUGGAACUUCACCACUGAGCAACUGCAGAAUCCUGAAAAACUAACAGAAUAAUUGGAUAAGAUCUGCUGUUGCCCUGUCAGUCCUAAAGAGGCAUAAAUUGCUGCAGUGUGCUCUGGCCUGGCCUAUGCCUACGAAGAUCUGUUCAACGCUCUUCAGCUCCUCAAGGGGAAGCAAAUACCUCUGGACCUGAUGACAAUGCAGCAGACCCUCCAGCUUUUGUGAUAGACUCUGUGGCAGCUCCAAUUCCUGCAACAGAUCCUGCAGUAGCUCCAAGCACUGUGACAGACAAGAAAAAAAGAAAGAAAAAAAAGUCCACCUAAUCCAGUCAUCUUUGAAGUUGUGUAACAGCUUGAAUGCUUUUCCUGUGCAUUAAGAAUGUGUGAUUCUUGGUCCCUGAUCAUCUUCAAGAUGCUUGCAGUUACUUGGAGCUGACUUUAUGAAGAGGCAAUGCCAUAAGGAUUAGGACAGACAGAGGACAUUAGCCUGUUUCCUAUCAUAUACUGUCCAUACUAACAGAAGGAAAAGCUGAUUGAGAUUAUACAACCAGGGCUUUUUAUCUGUCUUCUGCUAAUAAGAGACCCUACUAAACAGGGAAAAUGGUAAAAAUCAGGCUUCUCGUGUUAACUGAGUCUAUGGUUUUCAAUCAUUAGUUUAAUGUCUAUUACAUGAUCCUCAGAAGAGAAAUAUGAGAGGCAUUUUGCAAAUGGCAGUCAAAUGGCAAUCCAAUUACACCCAGAAGGGUUGAUUUGGUAAUCAACUUCUUUUUAAGGUCUACUCUGGGGCUACAUUUAUGUAAAUGUUUGCAUCUGAUGUUUGUUAACAUGGAGACAGCUAAUAAAUAACAAAAGGCAUAGAGACUAGAC